GACGAACCGAGGCGAACGUUGUUCGGAAUCACUGGGCUUAAAGGGCGCGUAGGCGGCUUACCAAGUCAGGGGUGAAAUUUUGCGGCUUAACCGUAACAGUGCCUUUGAUACUGGUAAGGCUCGAGGGAGGUAGGGGUUCGCGGAACUUCUGGUGGAGCGGUGAAAUGCGUUGAUAUACAGAAGGAACGCCGGUGGCGAAAGCGGCGAACUGGAUCUCUUCUGACGCUGAGGCGCGAAAGCUAGGGGAGCAAACGGG
rnacentral:rRNA from 1 species